rnacentral:rRNA from 1 species
AACGAACGCUGGCGGCAGGCUUAACACAUGCAAGUCGAGCGCCCCGCAAGGGGAGCGGCAGACGGGUGAGUAACGCGUGGGAACGUACCUUUUGGUUCGGAACAACUCCGGGAAACUGGAGCUAAUACCGGAUAAGCCCUAACGGGGAAAGAUUUAUCGCCGAAAGAUCGGCCCGCGUCUGAUUAGCUAGUUGGUGAGGUAACGGCUCACCAAGGCGACGAUCAGUAGCUGGUCUGAGAGGAUGAUCAGCCACACUGGGACUGAGACACGGCCCAGACUCCUACGGGAGGCAGCGGUGGGGAAUAUUGGACAAUGGGCGCAAGCCUGAUCCAGCCAUGCCGCGUGAGUGAUGAAGGCCUUAGGGUUGUAAAGCUCUUUUGUCCGGGAAGAUAAUGACUGUACCGGAAGAAUAAGCCCCGGCUAACUUCGUG